rnacentral:rRNA from 1 species
UACGCAGGGGGCUAGCGUUGCUCGGAAUCACUGGGCGUAAAGGGCGCGUAGGCGGCGUUUUAAGUCGGGGGUGAAAGCCUGUGGCUCAACCACAGAAUGGCCUUCGAUACUGGGACGCUUGAGUAUGGUAGAGGUUGGUGGAACUGCGAGUGUAGAGGUGAAAUUCGUAGAUAUUCGCAAGAACACCGGUGGCGAAGGCGGCCAACUGGACCAUUACUGACGCUGAGGCGCGAAAGCGUGGGGAGCAAACAGG